rnacentral:rRNA from 1 species
GGUUGACCUCGGAUCAUGUAGGGAUACCCGCUGAACUUAAGCAUAUCAAUAAGCGGAGG